rnacentral:rRNA from 1 species
CUAUUUGGAAGUAGAAAUACGGAAGGGUAGCUUAGUGGCGGACGGGUGAGUAACACGUAGGCAACCUAUCCUAAGGCGGGGGACAACCCAGGGAAACUUGGGCUAAUACCGCAUAAGACCACGGACUGGGAUGUCAGUGGUAAAAGGAGCGAUUCACCUAAGGAUGGGCCUGCGGCCUAUCAGGUAGUUGGUGAGGUAAAGGCUCACCAAGCCGACGACGGGUAGCCGGUCUGAGAGGACGGACGGCCACACUGGGACUGAGACACGGCCCAGACUCCUACGGGAGGCAGCAGUGGGGAAUAUUGCACAAUGGGGGAAACCCUGAUGCAGCGACGCCGCGUGGAGGAAGAAGGCCUUCGGG